GCCAGGUGCAGUGGCUUGCACCUGUAGUCCCAACUACUCAGGAGGCUGAGAAGGGAGGAUCACUUGAGCUCAGGAGUUCGAGGCUGCAGUGAGCCGAGAUCUCACCACUGCACUCCUGCCUGGAUGACAGAGUGAGACCCUGUCUCAA
rfam:Homo sapiens chromosome 20, GRCh38 reference primary assembly.